rnacentral:rRNA from 1 species
CGACCGGCGCACGGGNGAGUAACACGUAUCCAACCUGCCGAUGACUCGGGGAUAGCCUUUCGAAAGAAAGAUUAAUACCCGAUGGCAUAGUUCUUCCGCAUGGUAGAACUAUUAAAGAAUUUCGGUCAUCGAUGGGGAUGCGUUCCAUUAGGUUGUUGGCGGGGUAACGGCCCACCAAGCCUUCGAUGGAUAGGGGUUCUGAGAGGAAGGUCCCCCACAUUGGAACUGAGACACGGUCCAAACUCCUACGGGAGGCAGCAUG